rnacentral:piRNA from 1 species
UAACCCUGUAGGCUUCAGAUAUUCAGUU